CAUGACCUUCAUCAUCAUCUUCAUCUGGACUCUCACAGCGUUUGCUCAAGAGAGUAGAGGACAGAUCAGCGUCACUCAGAGUCCCUCAACAGCAGCUCAACCAGGAGAAACAGUGAAGAUCAGCUGCAAAACCAGCACUGAUGUGUACAGAAGUACAACUUAUUCAGUGUACUUACUCAGCUGGUACUUACAGAAACCUGGAGAAGCUCCUAAACUCCUGAUUUAUGCUGCAAACACUCUCCAGUCAGGAACUCCAUCUAGAUUCAGUGGCAGUGGAUCUAACAGUGAUUUCACUCUGACCAUCAGUGGAGUCCAGACUGAAGAUGCUGGACAUUAUUACUGUCAGAGUUAUCACUACAUCAACAGUCAACAUAUGUUCACACAGUGAUAAA